rnacentral:rRNA from 1 species
GACGAACGCUGGCGGCGUGCUUAACGCAUGCAAGUCGAACGGUGAAGCGCCUUCCUUUUUGGUGGGUGUGGAUGAGUGGCGAACGGGUGAGUGACACGUGAGUAACCUGCCCCCUUCUUCUGGAUAACCGCAUGAAAGUGUGGCUAAUACGGGAUAUUCUGGGUCUGUCGCAUGAUGGGUCUGGGAAAGAUAUUGUUUCGGUGGGGGAUGGGCUCGCGGCCUAUCAGCUUGUUGGUGGGGUGAUGGCCUACCAAGGCGGUGACGGGUAGCCGGCCUGAGAGGGUGGACGGUCACACUGGGACUGAGACACGGCCCAGACUCCUACGGGAGGCAGCAGUGGGGAAUAUUGCACAAUGGGCGCAAGCCUGAUGCAGCGACGCCGCGUGAGGGAUGGAGGCCUUCGGGUUGUGAACCUCUUUCGCCAGUGAAGCAGGCCUGCCUCGUUUGUGGGUGGGUUGACGGUAGCUGGAUAAGAAGCGCCGGCUAACUACGUG